CUCCCGUUCUGCUCUCGCCGGAGACAUCUCCGGCUGCUGCUCCUCUCAAGAAGCUCGACGCCGCCAUUAAAGGACAUCAGAGAAAGUGCUAAAAAGCUGCAGUUUUUAUAGCAAAAGACCAUCAACAGCCGCAGUAAUGACAGCCAAAGACCGUCAACAAAUGAAAUGAAUUAUGAUGAAUUCUUUUACUAUGCGGAAGCCAUUGAAGCAGAACAGGAAAAUAAAUCACAACUUUCAUGAAUCGUUCUACAUCUGCUACAAAGCCAAAGACAUUGAAAAGAGAGGAAGGAAAUAUACAGUCGUCUUCGGGAUUAGUCUAUCUUAAGCUUUGUAGACAGCUGAUAAGGAUCAAGCCAGAAUUCGGCCAGGGGUUUGCAACUCCUUCAAAGCUGUGACUAACCAAUCAAGUCCCUCAUAGAGACCAUCUCCGGCAAGGGCGCAAGUUCCCUGGAUGUGCCAUGUUCGAUUCCUCAGAUCAUAGAGACCCAACCCUUCAGAUACCUCCAUUGGAGUCAUUGCACCUUUCUGAAUGAAAUAAUAAGGCAGUUAAAUUCCAGUUUGAUCUGACUUGUAAAUAAAUACUACUGUAAAAGGUAUCAAGAUAGAUGGCUUCUUUAUAGAAGAAGCAAAUGUAACUUCAAAAUCUUAAGUCGAAAUGAAAAAAGCAGCUUAUUAGAACGU